CCCAAAUUCCCCUCCCAAUUUCCCUCCCAAAUUUCCCUCCCCAAAUUCCCAUCCCCAAUUUCCCAUCCCCAAAUUCCCCUCCCCAAACUUUCCCCCUCCCCAAAUUCCCCUCCCCAAAUUCCCCCCCAGACUCACCCUGAUCCGGGACUUGACCCUUCCCGGGAUUUUGGGGGCCCUGCGGAGCCGGGAGCGGCCCAGGCUGGGGGAGGGCUCCUCGCUGAAGAUGCUGAAGGGGGUCCUGGGCCCCCCCAGCAGCGUUUUUGGGGGCGCCCCCGAUUUGGGGUGUGGGGUGCAGGGUCCCCCCGGCCGCAGGACAAUGGGGGGGACCUCGCUGUCCGAAUCCCCCAGCGAGAAAACCUCCCCAAACCCGGGGGGCUUCGCUUUCGGGGUCUUCCCCACCUUGCCUUUGGGGGGUUUGGUUUUCUUGGGGGGAGCUUUGGGGGUUUUUUGGGGUUCUUUGGGGCUGGCUGGGGGUCGGGGGGUCCAGCUUUGGGCCAGGACGUCGCUGACGGAGCGGCCGAGGGCGGUAGCCACGCGGCCGAGGGUGGCCAAGGCUUUGGCCAGCAGCAGAGUGGCCACGGCCACGGCCAGCCCGGCCACGGGGGCGCUUUGGGACGCCAGGAGGGUCAGACCCCGCUCCAGCUCCUCAUCCCAAAGCAGACCCAGGUGGGAUGGGCCCAGCAGCCCCCGCAGGGCCAGCGUGGAGUAGGCGAUGGCCACCAGCUCGGCCAGCGGGCCCAGGGGGGGACUGAGCCCAGAGGGGUCCCUGAGCCCAGAACUGUUCCCAUCCACAGGGGGAUCCCUGAUCCCAAAGUCGUUCCCAUUGCCAGAGGGAUCCUGCAGGUCCCUGAUCCCAAAGAUGUUCCCACUAUUCCCAGGGGGAUCCUGCAGAUUCCUGUCCCCAUCCCUGAUGGUGUCCCCAUUAUUCCCAGGAAUUCCCCUAUCCUUGACAAUGUCCCCAAUCCCAUUCUUCCCUCCAUUCCCACGGCUCUCAUUCCCAUUGUUCCCAGUUCCAAUGUUCCCUCCAAUCCCAUUGUUUCCCUCAUUCCCAGUGUUCCCCUCAUUCCCACUGCUCUCAAUCCCACUGUUCCCAUCAUUCCCCCCGUUAUUCCCAUUGUUCCCCCCAUUAUUCCUGCCGUCAUUCCUGCCGUCAUUCCUGCCGUUAUUCCCAUUGUCAUUCCUGUUAUUCCUGCUGUUAUUCCUGUUGUCAUUCCCGUUAUUCCCCCCGUUAUUCCCAUUGUCAUUCCCGUUAUUCCCCCUGUCAUUCCUGCCGUUAUUCCCGCUGUCAUUCCCGUUAUUCCCCCUGUCAUUCCUGCCGUUAUUCCCAUUGUCAUUCCCGUUAUUCCUGCCGUUAUUCCCGUUGUCAUUCCCGUUACUCCCGCCGUCAUUCCCGCCGCUCCCCGCCAUCCCAGCCCUGUCCAGCUCCCACUCCAGCCGUUUCCCGGCGCUCCCGCAGCGUUCCAGCACUUUCCGCGCCAGGGCGGCUCCGGUGGCGGCGCUCCCGGCCAGGACGCGGUGCCGAGCCCGCGCCAGGAGCCAGCGCAGCCCCAGCUCCAGCAGCGCCGGCUCGGAGCAGAAGGAGCAGCCGCAGCCCCAGGGAUGGGACAGGAAUUCCAGGCUGUUCCCGUUCCCGGCUCUCAGCUCCGGAGAGGCCGUGAGAGCGUCCGGCUGAUCCGGGAGAGCGGCCGGAGCCAGCAGAUCCAGGGGUGGACCCUUGAGGAAUCCCUCGUCCUCUUCAUUCCCGGGAUCCGGUGGAUCCCGGGGUUUUCUCCUCUCCGGGAGACCCUUGUGGAGCCGGAUCUUGGCUCGGUGCCGAGGAUCCCGCAGGGGUUUGGAUCCUGGAAUUCAGGAUUUGGGAUUUGGAGAGGAUUCCCAGCUGGGUUUUUAACCCUGGGGAGGGGAGGGAUGUUUGGGGUUUAAUUCUGU
ensembl:lncRNA